CAUUAAACUGGUCCCCACUGAUAGUCUCAAUCGAUGAGCGAACUCCAUGGUUUUUGAACUCGGUGUGUUUUCUCCUCAGUUCCUGUCACAGAUGCUGCGCUGAUAUCCCGCACCAAUGGGACUGAGAUACAGCCCGGGGACCGCCUUGUUCUCCGGUGCCUGGUGAGGGAAGGCACUGAGCCCCAGUUCAUUUGGUACCGUGACAACGUGCCGUUAAGAAACGGCAGUGCGAGCUCCCAUGUGACUGCCGAUGGUGGUGAGCUGGUUAUUCAUUCAUUCCGGAGAGACAAUGUCGGGAGGUAUCACUGUGCAGCGAUCAACAAAGGAACCAACGGCACCAUUUUUAACGUGACCAGCGACUAUAUCGAAUUCACGUUGCGAGCUCGGAGUUAUUCCACGGAGAUCGCGGCCUCGCUCGUCCCAGUUUUGCUGUUCGGUGGCCUGAUCGCGUCGGUGUGGUUCAUCCACCGGACGAGGGACACAGGCAAUUCCUCAACUGUGUCACAGCCCAAGAGAUCCCAAGCUUCUGGUGAAGGGGCAGCAGCCGGCAAUCUGGAGUAUGCAG